UACGGGGGGGGCAAGCGUUGUUCGGAAUUACUGGGCGUAAAGGGCUCGUAGGUGGCCAACUAAGUCAGACGUGAAAUCCCUCGGCUUAACCGGGGAACUGCGUCUGAUACUGGAUGGCUCGAGUUUGGGAGAGGGAUGCGGAAUUCCAGGUGUAGCGGUGAAAUGCGUAGAUAUCUGGAGGAACACCGGUGGCGAAGGCGGCAUCCUGGACCAACACUGACACUGAGGAGCGAAAGCCAGGGGAGCAGACGGG
rnacentral:rRNA from 1 species